UACAGAGGCCUCGAGCGUUAGGCGGAAUCACUGGGCUUAAAGCGUGUGUAGGCGGACUGGUAAGUACCUUGUGAAAUCCCACAGCUUAACUGUGGAACUGCUCGGUAUACUGCUGGUCUUGAGCCACUCAGGGGCUACCGGAACAAAUGGUGGAGCGGUGAAAUGCGUAGAUAUCAUGUGGACCGCCAAUGGUGAAAACAGGUAGCUGGGGGUGUGCUGACGCUGAGACACGAAAGCCAGGGGAGCAAACGGG
rnacentral:rRNA from 1 species